GGUCCAGGAAGGAAGGCAAGAUGUUGGCAUAGCUGUUAAAUUGAAAUCCCUGCUAUAUCAACAUAUUGCCAUUUUUCUCU
rnacentral:pre_miRNA from 11 species